GUCUACGGCCACGCCACCCUGAACAAGCCGGAUCCCAUCUGAUCUCGGAAGCUGAGCAGGGUCGGGCCUGGUGAGUACUUGGAUGGGAGACCGCCCAGGAAGACCAGGUGCUGUAGGCG
rnacentral:rRNA from 1 species